GAUGAACGCUGGCGGCGUGCUUAACACAUGCAAGUCGAACGGAAAGGCUCCUGCUUGCAGGGGUACUCGAGUGGCGAACGGGUGCGUAACACGUGGGUGAUCUGCCCUGCACUUCGGGAUAAGCCUGGGAAACUGGGUCUAAUACCGGAUCGGACGAUGGUUUGGAUGCCAUUGUGGAAAGUUUUUCGGUUUGGGAUGAGCUCGCGGCCUAUCAGCUUGUUGGUGGGGUAAUGGCAUACCAAGGCGUCGACGGGUAGCCGGCCUGAGAGGGUGUACGGCCACAUUGGGACUGAGAUACGGCCCAGACUCCUACGGUAGGCAGCAGUGGGGAAUAUUGCACAAUGGGCGCAAGCCUGAUGCAGCGACGCCGCGUGGGGGAUGACGGCCUUCGGGUUGUAAACUCCUUUCGCUAGGGACGAAGCGCAAGUGACGGUACCUGGAGAAGAAGCACCGGCUAACUACGUG
rnacentral:rRNA from 1 species